rnacentral:lncRNA from 1 species
CAUCUCUUAGUAAUUGAGAUAAUUGAAAGAAAAGAGAAAGGGAGAAAGAGAAACAGAGCAAAAGGGAUAAUGAAGUAGAGACAGAAGAAGAGAAAGGAAUAGGAAGAAAAGUAAAAAGGAGGAGAAGGGGUAGGGAGGAAGAAAAAAAGUAAAAAGGAGGAGAAGGGGGAGGGAGGAAGAAAGAAAGGUGAAAAGAAAGAAUGCUAAAGUUUUCAACAACAUAAUUUAUCCUUUUAGAAUAUGAAUGUUGGUCU